rnacentral:rRNA from 1 species
UACGUAGGGUGCGAGCGUUAAUCGGAAUUACUGGGCGUAAAGCGUGCGCAGGCGGUUUUGUAAGCCAGAUGUGAAAUCCCCGGGCUCAACCUGGGAAUGGCAUUUGGGACUGCAAGGCUGGAGUGCGGCAGAGGAGACUGGAAUUCCUGGUGUAGCAGUGAAAAUUCGUAGAUAUUGGGAAGAACACCGGUGGCGAAGGCGGCUUCCUGGCCUGCUCUUGACGCUGAGGCGCGAAAGCUAGGGUAGCAAACGGG